GGCCCCUUCGUCUAGCGGCCUAGGACACCGCCCUUUCAAGGCGGCGGCGCGGGUUCGAAUCCCGUAGGGGCUA
rnacentral:tRNA from 3 species